rnacentral:rRNA from 1 species
AACAAACGCUGGCGGCGUGCCUAAUACAUGCAAGUCGAACGGGGUAGCAAUACCUAGUGGCGCACGGGUGAGUAACGCGUGGAUAAUCUGCCUUAGAGUGGGGGAUCACUAGUCGAAAGAUUAGCUAAUACCGCAUAAGACCACAAGAGCUGCGGCUCAAGGGGUCAAAGGUUUUUCGCUCUAAGAUGAGUCCGCGUAAGAUUAGCUAGUUGGUGAGGUAAUGGCUCACCAAGGCGACGAUCUUUAACUGGUCUGAGAGGAUGAUCAGUCACACUGGAACUGAGACACGGUCAAGACUCCUACGGGAGGCAGCAGUAGGGAAUAUUGCACAAGGGAGGAAACUCUGAUGCAGCGACGCCGCGUGAGUGAUGAAGGCCUUCGGGUCGUAAAGCUCUGUCGCAGGGGAAUAACACAAUGAAUGUACCCUGUAAGAAAGGAUCGGCUAACUUCGUG